GGUCAAGCGAACAAGUGCAUGUGGUGGAUGCCUUGGCGAUUACAGGCGAUGAAGGACGCGGUAGCCUGCGAAAAGCUUCGGGGAGCUGGCAAACGAGCUUUGAUCCGGAGAUGUCCGAAUGGGGAAACCCGGCCCGAAUGGGUCAUCCGUGACUGAAUACAUAGGUCACGGAAGCG
rnacentral:rRNA from 1 species